rnacentral:sRNA from 1 species
AAGACGCACGUUAUUGGAGGAUGGAGGACUGAGUAAGGGAGCCCAAAAUUUUGAUUGGAGGAGCAGACUCCGGAUGUGCUUGACUGAACACUGAUUGGAGAACAGAGGGGUCAGGAAGAGCAGUUCCGCACGAGGAUUGGGCGGUGGUGUGUCCCAUGGAAACGGAAUCCAGAACUGCAGCCAGGGUUUUGCACGGGGGCGGAGCCGGGUCUUCCCCAGGCGCCUGCGCCUAAGCGGUUUCCCGGCGCCAUUUUGUCCCGGCAGCAGCAGCCCGCAGCUCUAUCCCAUUUUCUGUGUCUAGAGGGAAGGAAGCGGACUCUAUCUGGUAGGUUUAGUUCAGUGUGGCACCGGCUUACCCUUCUCUCCAGGACAACGCCUAGCGAAGGGUGGAGGAGUCCCGGAGUUGUCCGAAAGAGUUGUGAAGACAACAGACAACUCCAUGACAACCCAAAGUACCACAGGGAAAUGAAAAGCUGUGGAUUCUUUCAAAGUUAAUUAAGAUUGGGUUUGACAAUGGAAGACCUCCAGAAAAUCUUGGCUGCUGAUGUGGAAAAAGAGACCCAGAAGAACAACCAAACAGCAAAGCGUUUAUUGCAUCUUGAAGAGGAGAGCUCAACUUGGAAUUUCUAUCGCUACAGGAUCAGAUGUGUUUGUGGCCAAGAUAGCGUGACCGAUGGCUAAAGGGCUAAAGAUCACCUGGAUAUUAAAUAGGGCAUAAGGCCCUCAGAGCUCUGGGCUGGGGGAGCAUAAGAAUCAGACACUGAAGUUAUUAGACUUACCGCUACCAAACAAUUCUUUACUUAGAUUAUAGGUGCCCUCCUCCCAUUGUUAGCAUGGGGGAUAUUAGGAUAAUAUCACUUUAAGAUAACACAUGAGGGGUUGGGGAUUUAGCUCAGUGGUAGAGCGCUUGCCUAGGAAGCGCAAGGCCCUGGGUUCGAUCCCCAGCUCCGAAAAAAAAAAGAACCAAAAAAAAAAAAAAAAGAUAACACAUGAAGGUACUUGACUUAGUCCUAGCCAUUAUACAUCAUGGAUGCUGGAGAAUUGCACCCCCUUGAACCCUAUAAUGAACUAGAGAACUCCAGUCUGCCCACUAGAAUUUGCCUCCUAAAGGUUUCAGUGAUAUGAAAGAAUUCUCUCGCUUAGUAAGAACAAUAGUUUAACAUUCCAUUUGGAAGUUUAACAUGCUUGGGUCAAAACAAAUUUUUUUUCUGUUUUGUAUUUUGUUUUUAUUGAGACACAGGGUUUCUCUGUUUAGCCUUGGCUGUCCUGGAACUCACUCUGUAGAUCAGGCUGGCCUUGUCAAGCUCUCCCUGCUUCUGCCUCUCAGGUGAUGGGAUAAAAAGCAUGCACCGCCACCACCCAGCCCUGGGUCAGAAAUUUUAUAUUGUAACUAUUCAAGAGAACCAGUGGUGAAGGUCCCCAGAUUGUCCCAAGCCAAACCCCCUACUCAUUAAUGUCUCUUAUCUCAGGUAGGCUUGGGACAGUGUAGUUAACAACAAUGGAAUGCCAAGUUCCCAAGAUUACACUGGAUAUGCGAGAGGACAGCUUAUGAGGUGCCUUGUGUGCUGGGUUCCAUCCACACCCAGUCAUUCUUCUGCUGUAGAGAGGUGAACAGUAAGCAAGGCAGGCACAUGAGGACUGGAAGAUAGGAAGCAACAUACUUCCUCAUCGGGGAUCGGAAAGAUAAUUAAUGGCCCCAGAACAUAUCAUUCAUUUUUGUGGUCCAGCCAAAUGAAUGAAUGGAGGGGAUCUUGGGACUACUGUUCCUCCAUUUACAUGUUAAAUUAUAUCAUCAGAUUACAGGAAGUCCUUGAGAUUAAAGCCAAUGAAAUGGCAAGGGUUCUUGCUACGCUAGCCAGACAACAAACCGAAAUGCAGUGCCAUUUUCCUAAAUUCAUUGGCUUUAGACUAUUUGCUUCUUCUGAAGAGGUUGUUCAUGGAAAAUUCAAUCUCAGUAACUAUUGCUUAGAAAUGGAUGCUGAAGGGGGUUGGGGAUUUAGCUCAGUGGUAGAGCGCUUGCCUAGGAAGCACAAGGCCCUGGGUUCGGUCCCCAGCUCCGAAAAAAAAAAGAAAUGGAUGCUGAAGGAGAAGUUAUUAAAGAGAUGACAUGAAAUGGGAACCUUGCUCAUCCCACAUAGACUUGGAAUGCCUGAAGCCCAGAAAGCUUGUUUAGAGAAUGGUCUUCAACUUCGGGGCAAUUCAAGUCCUUCCCAAGUCGCAGGCUCUUAAUACUAGGGGUUUGUGGGAGAAUACACUUGAAAUCCUUCGCUGUAGAAAUGGACAUAGAAGUGCCGAGGUUCGCUGGCCAGCCAUUCUAGCCUAAUUGGUGAGCUCCAGGCCAAUGUAAAACCCUCACCUAUGAUUUAAAAACAAACACACACCAUGGUGUUUAAGUCACCUAAAAAUGAAACCACUUGAGGAAUUAAGUCAUACUAAGAACAUUCAGGGAUAGAACACUUGAGACUAUUCACACACUGGGAACUUUUAUUAGAUUGUUUCUUGUUUUUUAAAAGAUGCUAUAACUAUUGAAGGGGUUUUUUGCUAAUAGAUGGUAUUUUGCACAUCUCCACUAUUGCUAGCAGUAAAUUGUAAGAAAAACUUCGUGAAGACUGAACGGGUAUCUGUUUUUGUUUUUGCCAUUAACUGGAUAUAUAGGCUAUGUGUCUCAAUAAGUUACUGAGUCACUCUCUGUGCUAGUUAAUUUUUAAUGUCAAUUUGAUACAAGCGAGAGUCACCUCAAAAGAAAAAAACCUCAACCAAAAAAUUGCCUUUUACACGGCGAAACCCAAACAAAAUCACUUUAAAGGGUUUCUCAGUGUAACCUUGGGCUAUUCUGGUUCUCACUGAGAUCCCCUGUCCCUGCCUCACAAGUGCUGGUACAGCACCACCACCUAGUUAGGCCAUUUUAAUUGUUAUAACUUAAAUUUGAGAUAUAAAUUGCCUAAUUAUGGACUUACUCUCUCAAACCAAGUGAGAAUUCUGCUUUUCAGAAAUGUUGUGUUUCUCUUCUUUUUUUUUUUCAGAGCUGGGGACCGAACCCAGGGCCUUGCGCUUGCUAGGCAAGUGCUCUACCACUGAGCUAAAUCCCCAACCCCGUGUUUCUUUUUUUUUAUGAAAUUAUAAGCUGCUUCCAGUGUCUAUAUACUUUUGAUGGCUCUGGUAUUGUAUUGGUCAGAGGAGGCAGGGAAGGGAAUUUUUAUGUAAUGAAAAACCAUCUCCUGUUUCUUACUUCAUGUGUCAUGAUAUUGAAACCAAUUUGCUGGUUUCCUCCCAGGCUUGAAGUUCUGUAUUUUAUCAUAUAGUCAGAACACACUAGCUGUUCACAGUAAAUUCUCUGACCACAAAUUUUGCUUCUCUUUCUUGCUGUGUACUUCCUGUUUUGUCAAAUUUCCAUUUAGGGAAAAGAAUGGGUUUUUAGCGUAAGCAUGUUUGAGCUUCACAUUUAAAACUUCUCCUGAAAUUCACUUGGAAGUCAUCCAGUUAUCUGAGGAAGGGAGGAGGGAAGCACUUUAUUUCUCUAAUAUAGCCAGUUUUUCCAGAAAGCUUCAUUUGGCUUUGUGUCAUGAGACUACUACUAGUAAGAAAUUUUUUGUUGUCAGUGUUCAGUAUGCAACUUGCCAGCCUUUUAGGCUUUCCAUGUCAAACAUGUUUUGAGUUUGUGAAUGAAUUAUGAAUGUUCCUUGUGAAGAAUCUGUGUUGCUUCUAGAUCUGUGUAGACUUCCAUAAACUUGUAAGAACUGCAUUCAGCCACAUUUAUUCCACUUACAAUAGGUACAAGUUACAGUUCAUGGGGUCAUUAGAGUACAAAUGGGCUUCAUUUCCAAUCUGUGAUAUAUUCUGAAUGUGAGUCACAGUGAUUGUGAAGUUCAUUUGCAACUGAAAUAGUGAGUUGCAAACCAA